AGAGUUUGAUCAUGGCUCAGGAUGAACGCUAGCGGCAGGCCUAAUACAUGCAAGUCGAACGGUAAGUAGUGUAGCAAUACAUUGCCUAGAGUGACGUACGGGUGCGUAACACGUAUGCAACCUACCUAUAACAGGAGGAUAGCUCGGGGAAACUCGAAUUAACCCUCCAUAAGAUAAUGGUGUGGCAUCACACAGUUAUUAAAACUCCGGUGGUUAUAGAUGGGCAUGCGUCUGAUUAGUUAGUUGGCGGGGUAAAGGCCCACCAAGACGAUGAUCAGUAGGGGAACUGAGAGGUUGAUCCCCCACACUGGCACUGAGAUACGGGCCAGACUCCUACGGGAGGCAGCAGUAGGGAAUAUUGGUCAAUGGAUGCAAGUCUGAACCAGCCAUGCCGCGUGCAGGAAGAAGGCCUUCUGGGUUGUAAACUGCUUUUACCAGGGGAUAAAAAGCUCAUGCGUGAGCAAUUGAAGGUACCUGGUGAAUAAGCCACGGCUAACUACGUGCCAGCAGCCGCGGUAAUACGUAGGUGGCAAGCGUUGUCCGGAUUUAUUGGGUUUAAAGGGUGCGUAGGCGGUUUUGUAAGUCAGUGGUGAAAUACUCUAGCUUAACUAGAGGGGUGCCAAUGAUACUGCAAGACUUGAGUACAGAUGAGGUAGGCGGAAUUGACGGUGUAGCGGUGAAAUGCAUAGAUAUCGUCAAGAACACCUAUAGCGAAGGCAGCUUACUGGGCUGUAACUGACGCUGAGGCACGAAAGUGUGGGGAUCAAACAGGAUUAGAUACCCUAGUAGUCC
rnacentral:rRNA from 1 species